ensembl:lncRNA LINC01013 long intergenic non-protein coding RNA 1013
GCCAGUGUCAGCAUUGAAAACUGAGGCCAGCAAUAAAUAUCAAUAUAUGGAAAGCCAAGCAUGCUUAAAACAGUGUGGUAGGCCCGGAGGAAAGGGCAAACACUGAGAAUAUGAGAAGAAAAGGAGCAAAGUCCCCAAAGGAGAAAGAAGUGUCUUUAUUUUCUACAUUUCCUGUGAAAGGCUAAUUUUGCUGCUUUCAAGCAAUUCAAAAUGAUUAUAGGAUAAUACUGGAGGCUGCCAUGGGAGAAGUCUGCACAAAAAGAGCAAGUUUAAGAGCUUCAGGAGUCAUAAAUGGCUUGAGAAGAUUAUGCUAGAGAUUGAAGCAGAUGGAAGAUUCUAGAAACAGAAAGCAUUCUUUUCAUUGGUGUGAGUCUUGAAUAUAAAUGGAAAUCAGAGGUCUGUAAUAGCAGGCCAGUGUGGAUAAGGCAGUAAGGUUUUGAGUCUGAGGAGAUGGCUGGGGGCAGUUUGUAGACUUAUUGUCAGUCCAGUGUAGAAUUUGAGAAUAUAGCCAGGGCUUAAGGUUCCAGUUUCAAAUUAAAGACAAAAGAAAUCAGCAAUACCAAAAUGAAGACAGAAGCCUGGGAAUUGUGCCUCAAGAUCUGGACUGAGAGGACAUUUCUACACAACAGCUCCCCUAAGGGCAGGGCUAUGACCGUUGUUGCUAAGCUGUCACCAUCUCUCCUUCCCUAUUAGACUGGCUUCUGUGGGGUAAUUAACCAGUACAAGGAUGUAUGGGAAGCUCUUCUGAGAAGACCUCACAUUAAAACAAAGUGUUGUUAUUCAA